CUGGUUUCUGAGAGCUUCCAGGUUGUUGAGCACGUGGAGGUUCUGGGAGGGUCCACACCCAGAGAAGGCAUGGAAGCUGACCCCUUCCCCAUACCUUGCUCUUUGCAUCUCUUCCAUUUGGCUGUUCCCGAGUUGUAUACUUUGUAAUAAGUGGGAUUUCCACCCAACAACAAUUCAGCCACACUGCUUCACACAUCUAGAAUCCAUCCAAAAUUGUAAAGGCUUUGUGGCACUACAGUGAAACAGGCAAGAACAUCUUCCAAACAUCCAGCACAAGAGCACACAGGAGGCCGGCAUAAUCACGAAUUGCAGCUGUCUGAAGGGCAGUCACAUAAAAGAGGAGAAGCUUCACCUUUGCUUCACAAGGCACAUCUUGAACCAGGGAUGGAAAUUACAGAGAGGCCAAAACCAGCUCGGUGUGAGCAGGACUGGUAACAGACUGGCCAAGCAACAGAAGGGGCUGCCCUGUGAAGAAGCAAGCUCUCUGUCAAUGGGAGGUGCAAGCUGAGCCUGCACUACCUUUUGUCACGGUUGCUAUGGAAAAGAUUAAGAGCCCGGAUAGCCCUUCCUCCUCUGGGGGCCUGGGCAUCAGCAAGUCGGAUGGCAGUGGAAGGUGGAGAAAUGGAAUCCUGCUGGGGGCUCAGGAGGCCUGCCCCCUGAUGCUGCCGUGCACUGCAGAUGUCCUUGAUGAAGAGAAUGAAUGGAAGUUUAAAUGAUGAAACUCUGGGGAUCAGCGUAAAGUAAACCAACAUACUGCAUGUAAGUAUCAAGUAAAUGAGCAGAGACAGCCCCUGGUUUACAAACACCUGACUUAAGCAUCGUCCAUCCUACAGGUAAAUUCCUCAUUCU
rnacentral:lncRNA from 1 species